CUUGAACGCUGGCGGCAGGCUUAACACAUGCAAGUCGAGCGGGGGAAGAUAGCUUGCUACUGGACCUAGCGGCGGACGGGUGAGUAAUGCUUAGGAAUCUGCCUAUUAGUGGGGGACAACAUCUCGAAAGGGAUGCUAAUACCGCAUACGUCCUACGGGAGAAAGCAGGGGAUCUUCGGACCUUGCGCUAAUAGAUGAGCCUAAGUCGGAUUAGCUAGUUGGUGGGGUAAAGGCCUACCAAGGCGACGAUCUGUAGCGGGUCUGAGAGGAUGAUCCGCCACACUGGGACUGGGACACGGCCCAGACUCCUACGGGAGGCAGCAGUGGGGAAUAUUGGACAAUGGGGGGAACCCUGAUCCAGCCAUGCCGCGUGUGUGAAGAAGGCCUUAUGGUUGUAAAGCACUUUAAGCGAGGAGGAGGCUACUCUAGUUAAUACCUAGGGAUAGUGGACGUUACUCGCAGAAUAAGCACCGGCUAACUCUGUGCCAGCCGCCGCUGUAA
rnacentral:rRNA from 1 species